UUGGAGAUAGUUUUCUACAACAUUGGAUUAACAGGGCAGCAACAAUUCUUUUUACAUUGUGAUGAUCAUCAUCAAAAUAGAACAGAGAAACUUAUUUUUCUCAUCUAAAAUAUUGUCCAAUGCUCCAGAAAUGGCAGCCCUGAAAAAGGCAGAGGAUCUCUUACAGCAUUUUCAUUACAUUUAUUUAUUUCCUGUUCCUGAUGUGACAGAUUUGUCUUUGUUUGGGGUGGGUAGGAAAGAAUUUUGCUCUGUGUUUUAGUGAGACUUUUACAAUCAUUCACUGUUCAGAUCAGGCUGGGCAGAAAAAUAGCAUAAUGAUUUCACAAAGAGGGUUGGGCUUUUCGUUUGAUUGAUCAAACCUUAUCAGAUGCCUGUUGAAUAUGAUCGAACACUUAUAAUACUAGUUUCCCCAAACCACACAAAGGCACUUGUGCUCAAAAUUUGGAAAAUUGUGAUUGAUCGAAAUCUUUGGUUUAUAACAGAUAAAGUUUACAACUUUAACUAUAGUAGUGCUAUUAACACCCAUUUUAAUGUCUCAUUACAGUUAAAUAAGAGCUCGCUUUCUGCUUGAUUGAAAUAUAGUGGAUAAAUGUGGCAGGUACUUGCAGCUGCUAACAAUAUUAAGUUGCUACUCCUCCAGCAUUUUCCUUCUAUCUUUACACUUGUGCUAUAGCCACAAGUCUUACCCCGAAUUUACUGCACUGUGUUAAUUUUAUAUUCUCCUCAUGUUAGUCUCCGAAGACUUUCCAACAUAUCACAAUAUCUUUUUUCAGUAACAUGCAUAUAACUUUUUGCAAAUGCUGAAAUUAGAGUUACUGGUUGUGAUGCUUUGCCUGUUAGUCUCUGUUUACAUAUGUCAAGCCUGUACACCAAACAAUACCCAGAUGUUAAGACAGAAGAGGAGAUAGAAUGUCAGAGGGAUAUUGGGGCAAAAAACAAAAGCAGCAGUCAAGGCUAAUUCAGGAUUGCACCAUAUCAAGAGGGUAAAACCAGCCCUGAUUAUACUUGGAUGAGAAAAGGCAGACAGCGGACUUGGCAUCAACUUUGAAGUUUGUCUGAGGAGAAGCUGAAUGAGAUGAUACCCAUGUGUUAGAACCCUGAGUGUCAGGUUAAAGAUGAUAACAUGUUCCUGAUUCUCCAGUGGUAUGGGAAUGAGACCAGUUUAAGUGACAUUGUAUCAUAUUGCUAGAGUUCAUACUUAAACUUUG